AUUGAACGCUGGCGGCAGGCCUAACACAUGCAAGUCGAACGAGUGGCGGACGGGUGAGUAAUGUCUGGGAAACUGCACGAUGGAGGGGGAUAACUACUGGAAACGGUAGCUAAUACCGCAUACCAUCAGAUGUGCCCCGAUGGUAUUAGCUAGUAGGUGGGUUAACGGCUCACCUAGGCGACGAUCCCUAGCUGGUCUGCGAGGAUGACCGGCCACACUGGAACGUAGACACGUUCCAGACUCCGACGUGAGGCAGCAGUGGGGAAUAUUGCACAAUUGGCGCAAGCCUGAUGCAGCCAGGCCGCGUGUAUGAAGAAGGCCUUCGGGUUGUAAAGUACUUUCAGCGAGGAGGCGUUACUCGCAGAAGAAGCACCGGCUAACUCCGUGCCAGCAGCCGCGGUAAUUC
rnacentral:rRNA from 1 species